rnacentral:rRNA from 1 species
CCCUUAGAUGUUCUGGGCUGCACGCGUGCUACACUGAUAUUGCCAAUAUGUCAUUCUUAUCCGAAAUGGAUUGGGUAAUCAAGUAAUGAAAUUUCAUGCUUGGAAUCGGUAAUUGCAAUUUUAUCGUGAACGAGGAAUUCCUAGUAAGCACUAGUCAUCAGCUAAUGUUGAUUAUGUCCCUGCCCUUUGUACACACCGCCCGUCGCUACUACUGAUUGGGUGUUCAAGUGAGAUGCUUAGACCCUUGUUGCAUGGUUCAUUAUUGUGCUCCGAAAGGAAAAAGUUUCAAGCUUGAGUGUCUAGAGGAAGUAAAAGUCGUAACA